GACGAACCGAGCGAACGUUGUUCGGAAUCACUGGGCUUAAAGGGCGCGUAGGCGGGCUGUCAAGUCUGGGGUGAAAUCCCGCGGCUCAACCGCGGAACUGCCUCAGAUACUGACGGUCUCGAGGGGGGUAGGGGCGAGCGGAACUGAUGGUAGAGCGGUGAAAUGCGUUGAUAUCAUCAGGAACUCCGGUGGCGAAGGCGGCUCGCUGGACCCCUUCUGACGCUGAGGCGCGAAAGCCAGGGGAGCAAACGGG
rnacentral:rRNA from 1 species